rnacentral:rRNA from 1 species
ACGGAGGGUGCAAGCGUUAAUCGGAAUCACUGGGCGUAAAGCGUGCGUAGGCUGUCUAGCAAGCCAGACGUGAAAGCCCUCGGCUCAACCGAGGAACUGCGUUUGAAACUGCUUGACUUGAGUCCGAGAGAGGGCGACGGAAUUCCGGGUGUAGGAGUGAAAUGCGUAGAUAUCCGGAGGAACACCGGUGGCGAAGGCGGCCGCCUGGAUCGUUACUGACGCUGAGGUACGAAAGCGUGGGGAGCAAACAG